rnacentral:misc_RNA from 1 species
GCAAACUUGGUCAUUUAGAGGAAGUAAAAGUCGUAACAAGGUUUCCGUAGGUGAACCUGCGGAAGGAUCAUUAUCAAUCUUAGCGAAACCUUUCUAGGGUCUUCGCGUAUAUACUUAAAACCAACUCUUAUGAAUCAAAUAAUGAUUUUUCUAUUAAGUAAAUUAAGAAAGAUCACUUUCAACAACGGAUCUCUUGGCUCUCGCAUCGUCAGAUGUGUAUAAGAGACAGGCAAACUUGGUCAUUUAGAGGAAGUAAAAGUCGUAACAAGGUUUCCGUAGGUGAACCUGCGGAAGGAUCAUUAUCAAUCUUAGCGAAACCUUUCUAGGGUCUUCGCGUAUAUACUUAAAACCAACUCUUAUGAAUCAAAUAAUGAUUUUUCUAUUAAGUAAAUUAAGAAAGAUCACUUUCAACAACGGAUCUCUUGGCUCUCGCAUCGAUGAAGAACGCAGC